AUGCCAUAUAGUCGCAUUCAGUUAGAGAAGUUACUUAAUCAGGUAUGGAUGUCUUUAAAAGUUAUGUUUAAAAUUUUAGUUUAAAGUUUGUUGAAAUAAUUUCUAUUUUUUUUUUUCUUGCAGGGGGUUCAAUUCCAGAAUUUGAAAUGUAUUAACGUCAUGGAAUGUGGGUCUAUUAUGAGAUUACCUAAUUUAUGCGCCCCAAACUUAGAGAAAUUGAAUCUUUCAUAUUGUAGAAAUUUAGUUGAGUGUCAUGAGUCCAUUGGAUUUCUUGAUAAGCUUCAAGAAUUGGAUCUUAGAAGUUGUGAAAAACUUCAAAAUUUUCCAAGCCAUCUCAUGUGGAAAUCUCUCAAAUGUUUGUAUACUCCAUCCUGCUCAAGACUUGAUGUUUUUUCUUUCCUAUACCCGAACUUUGGCGGGUUUAAUGGUUUAUACUACUAUUGUUGUAAAAAUGUUAUGGAUCUUGCAGAUAUCAUCUAUAAAUUACCACAGGUUGAGGGAUUAUUUAUAUAUACUAGCAAAUCGAGACCCUGGUGUACUGAAUCUUUUGGCUUUUUAGAUAUAGAGGCGUUUCUAGAUCUGAGUAAUGUUGGAAAUUUAAUUGAAUUAGAUUUUUUGAUGAAGCCUGAUUACUUUCCGGUAUUGGAACAACUAUAUUUAAAUGAAAUCAAUAUUGUUAUCAUCCCGAAAAGAAUCUCCAAGUUUACUAGAUUAAAGACACUUAAAAUAAAAUGUUGUAAGUAUCUUCAGGAAAUUCCAAGGCUUCCACAAUCUAUAAGACAAGUGUUUAUAGUAAACUCCCAUUCGCUACAUCCGCAAUCAUUAAACAGAUUGUUCAGUCAGGACUUUUUAGAUAUAGAGGCGUUUCUAGAUCUGAGUAAUGUUGGAAAUUUAAUUGAAUUAGAUUUUUUGAUGAAGCCUGAUUACUUUCCGGUAUUGGAACAACUAUAUUUAAAUGAAAUCAAUAUUGUUAUCAUCCCGAAAAGAAUCUCCAAGUUUACUAGAUUAAAGACACUUAAAAUAAAAUGUUGUAAGUAUCUUCAGGAAAUUCCAAGGCUUCCACAAUCUAUAAGACAAGUGUUUAUAGUAAACUCCCAUUCGCUACAUCCGCAAUCAUUAAACAGAUUGUUCAGUCAGGUAUCUCUCUCUCUCUCUCUCUCUCUCAAUGUUAUAUAAAAACACUCUUUUAACCUUCUCGAAAAUACAUUAUUAAAUUUGUUUGAAUUUCUUAUUGCAAACAGUUUGGAGAAUUUUGGUACCAGGAAUAUGAGAUUUUACAACCACGACAAAAUCCGAUGAAUAAUUUCCAGAGAUAUGAACUUAUACUACCAGGAUCAGUGAUUCCAAAGUGGUUCAAUCAUCAAAGUGUUGGAAAUUUCAUUUCAUUCUGGAUUGGUCGUGAUUUUCCAACAUUUGUUUGCUGUGCUGUUUUAGAACCGAAGGACCAGCUUUGUGGAGUUUUUCUUUCGGUGUUAUUGGAAAUUAAUGGGACAAAAGUAGGUGUUAUUGGUCCUUUCGGAAGCAGUCGGGUUUCAGAUAUGAUGUCUAAUCAUGUAUGGUUUUUUAACGUAUCUCUUGAAUUUCCUGGGUUAAAUCUAUAUGAUCAGAAUUAUGUUGAGGUUGUAAUUGAAACCUUUAAUGAGGUUCUUAUCGUAAGGUGUGGGGUCCAUGUUCAAUGCAUCUGUCCUCUUGUUGGGAGAUUUGGUGAAUUCGAAGCAAAGAGGCAGAUUAUUCAAUGGAAAUUAUUCCAAGAUCAAGAUCACUCCACCGACACGCUCCCACCUACUUCAAUACCUGCCUUCCCCAUUUGUCCUAUUUUAAACUCUGUCACCCGACUCACCCACUUCCCUUCCCCCCCCACCUCUGAUUUGGAGCUUUCAGAUUCAUAUUCAAUGGAAAGCACAUAUAAUGAUUUUGAGUCUCUUUCGACGGGCUUUCAUAUUGAUGGGUGCAACCAAACACUCCCGCCUUUCCCCACCUCUUAUUUGGAGCUUUCAAAUUCAAAUUCUAUGGAAGCAACAAAUAAUGAUUUUGACUCUCUUUUGAACGGUUUUCAAGUUGAUGGGUGUGAUUUGAGUAUGUCACUGUACACUUCUCCCAUGGGAAGAAAUUAUCAGCCUCCCCAGCCUCAGGUCACUGUCCUUGAUGAUACUAGCCACAUUUCUUUGCCAUCUAGCACGGAGCUUCUGAAUAAUAUGACAUACAAGUCCGAAUUAUUGGGCAUGCCAGAUUCGGGAAUUGGCUCAACUGUUAGUGAGGGGUUUCAUUUGGGUUCUUCUUCAAUGGCCCAUAACUUUUUCAAUGAUGAUGACUCUGACUUCAAUUUGAAUUCACCAUCGAAGAAAAUGAGAACAUCUUGAUUGAGCUUGGAAGAAGAAAUAUGCCUCCAUCAGAAAAAGAACCUUGAAACUAUUUUCUUCUUCAUUAUUGUUUCCGUUCCAUUUCUUAUGCAUUUGAUGCUAAGGUAUGUCUCUUAUUUUUAGUUGCAUUAUUUCAUUUGCAUCUUCGGAUGCUCAUUCAUUGGAUUGGGUACUAACAUAAUAUGAAUAGAAACUAACACAAAAAAAUGCAGAAUAGAUGAAAGAAAUUAGUCAAUGUGAUUUGUUGCUAAAUUAUUCUAUAAAAAAAACUAUUAAGUUGUAGAUGGCAGUAGAAAAGUAAUAUAUAUAUAUAUAUAUAUUUUUUUUUUCUGAGAAGCUGUUAGCAUAAUAUGUGAGUGUUAGGAUUUUUGUCUAUUAGUUUGUUACUAGCCGGCACCAAUUUUGAAAAUUCAAACUUCCGUAGGCAUGACCUUAUGCCUAUACCAUCCUUAAUUUCAUAGAGCAGGAGGUUUUGAAAUGGAUUUGACUUUGCCAAUAGUCAUAGUUUCAAGCCCUUUGAACACAACAUUACAUUUUAAAUGCUUUCUUUUUAAAAUUGUUGCUUAUAGUAUAUAUUGUCUCAAAUUUCAUAAUCUUGUAAAAAUGUUGGGAACUAUAUGUGGAUUUCUGAUAUUAGCUAGUUUGUUAUGGAUGAUUUCCUGACUAUGAUUGAAAUGUGUCUUUGUUAUUGAUUGUUGGACUCACUAAAGCGAUGAUUGAAAAUCUGAAUGUGCAAAACUAAGCUAAGAAUAUAUAUAUAUAUAUAUAUUUUUUUUUUUUUUUUCCUGAGAAGAAGACAAGUAAAAUAUUGUUGCUAGUGACCAUAUAAAGAUUUGGAUUUGGGCCUAGUAUUGUUAAAAAAUGAAACCAAUGGUAACAGACCAAAUGGAACCUCCUUCCACAUAAUUGCAAUAUGGAAGAUGAGGGCAUGGUUUAAGAUAUGCAUGAAUGUGGCAAUAUUUUCUUUGGAACAAAAUUAUAAUUUUCAAAGAGAAAGUCAGAAUAUUAGAAUACUGAAAAACCUCUUUCAAUUUUUUUUUAAAAUUUUGAAAACAAGCUGUUAAAUAUUCAUCCCAUAAUCUCUAUCUCUGAUAAUGAAGUCACUCAUACUUCUUGAUUUAUUUAAAUUUUGAGUUUUGAUGAAAACAAACUGUUAGCAUAAUAUGUGAGUAUUAGGAUUUUUGUCUAUUAGUUUGUUACUAGCCGGCACCAAUUUUGAAAAUUCAAACUUCCGUAGGCAUGACCUUAUGCUUAUACCGUCCUUAAUUUCAUAGAGCAGGAGGUUUUGAAAUGGAUUUGACUUUGCCAAUAGUCGUAGUUUCAAGGUCCUUUGAACACAACAUUACAUUUUAAAUGCUUUCUUUUUAAAAUUGUUGCUUAUAGAAUAUAUUGUCUCAAAUUUCAUAAUCUUGUAAAAAUGUUGGGAAUUAUAUGUGGAUUUCUGAUAUUAGCUAGUUUAUUAUGGAUGAUUUCCAGACUAUGAGUGAAAUGUGUCUUUGUUAUUGAUUGUUGGACUCACUAAAGCGAUGAUUGAAAAUCUGAAUGUGCAGAACUAAGCUAAGUUACUGUGUGAAAUCCUACUAACAAGGUUUUGUUCUUUCACAUCAAGUUGUUCUUUGACUUGUGUAAUAGUGGAAUAUUUUCAAGCUUGCAAAACUAUACCAAUAUUUUUUUUCCCAUAAAUUAAUGCAACUCAUUAUGUUAUAAAAUUCAAUUGGGUUAUGCUUGGUGUCUUUGGAAGUGAAUUUAAUCAUUUUUUUAAUUAAAAUUCAUAGCAUUUCAUAAAAAUUGAUAAUGUGAUUGAGAAAAGAAAUGAAUCAACUGAUAACGUUUUGAAAUAAAAAAUUGACCCUAUGAUUUCAAUAUUUUUUGACAAUAUUAAGAAGUAAGGAAUUUGAUCUAGCAUAUCAUGGAAUUAUCAGAUCUGUUAGGUCUGACCAAGACAUUCUUGCGGGAAUUGGAAAAAAAAAAAUUCCUUUUGGGUGAGAGAGCUUUCUGAUUGACCAAUUUUUUGAGUCAACAUUUCAAUUGAAGAAUAGCCUAGUUAUGCCUUUGGAUCUGGAAUCAGGGCACUCCUUUUGGUUGUUUUUUGUGUCGUAAGUCAUGUGAUUAUUCAUUUUCACGUUGUUAUUGAUGCAUGUUUGUUUAAUUUAAUGUGCAAUUGAAAUGUCAAUUGUUGGUGCCUUCUAUUUUUUUUUUUUUGUGCUGUUGAAUUUUAUAGAUUUAAACGGCCGUGCUUUACCCCCUAUUUAGAUGGUUUUUAUCUGUAUCUUCCAACAUUGAAAUUAACCUCAUGCAAAAUACCCCAUGGACGGAUUCAAUUUUUAUUUAUUUUUAAAUCACUUGGAAAACAGACAACUGAUAAUGAAGAAUAAAAUGGAGUCCCUCAACAUGUAUGAAUACUGAUCAGAAAAACAAACAACAAAACCAAGACAUGUAUAACUUUCAUUGCACUUCUCAAUGCCUACACAAGUUUUGAAUUGACCAUAAGUGUAUAGAACAUCCUUCUUUCAAUGCAAUCCUACAUCUAACCACUAAGCAGUUGCAUUUGGUUCUGGAUGGACGUCAUAACAAUAUAAAUUGCUCAGUUAUUUACUGGUGUUUGAAUUAGAGAAUAGGGACACGUCUGUCAAUCCAAAUUUGCUGUAAAAGUCACAUUGGGAUGUUUUGGUUUGAACCUUUCAAGUCUGUGGAGUAUUUAUUUUUAAUUUGCUGGAACAAUACUUCAUUUGGUUAGUUGCUCAUUUACGUCCUGCUGGCCAAAAUUUAAGCUACUUUAAUUCCCAAAUGCCUUUGGUUGGGAUUUGUAGAAGAAAAUAAUUCAUACUUAUUGGUCAAAGAGUUUUUCCAAUAUAAUAUAAAAUAAAAGGUUUUUAUUUGUUUGUUUCUUUUUAUAUUAAUUGCAUAUACUUGAAUUAAUUGGGAUGAUAGGGCCACAACUUCAUCAUUGUUGGAAUAAUAGUUGUAGCUGCUGAUGAAACUACUUCAUCCUUUUAAGUUUUGUUAUUUUUGUGCCCAAAAAUGAUCACUUUGUUCUGUAGGAUUCUCUGUUCUGGUAUUUCGUACUAAUGGACUCCACACUUGAUGCAACUGGGUAUAGAUGUAAGUCUUGUCUUUGGUAUUUGACACCCUUAUUUUGUAGACAUUAUAAUGAUCUCAAUGCCCAAAAAAAGUUUUUAUAAUUAUCUGCAACUAUGAGCAGGGCUUCUACCCCUUUGAAAAUUAUAGCUCUAUACAAAUUUCAUUUCUUACCCGCUUGCAUAUCUUUUGUAAAUAAAUUAAUAGGAUUACCUCCAAUUGCAGUUUUCUACUAUUCUGUGGCACCUUCUUACUAAUUUCACUUUGAGUUAAAUGUUGAAAGGAAUAUUUUGAAAUUACAAAUUAGUAUCUCCUUGAAUUCAUCCUCUUAUUGGAAUACCUUGCUGUAGAGAAAAGAGUAAACAAUGUUCAUGAGCUAAUGGUUAUGAUUUUUUUUAUUCGGUACAGAAAAUAUACAUGCCUUUAACUGUCUUACAUUAAAAUGCCAAGGAGAAGAGAUCACUUAUAUUGUACCUUUCCCCUUUUGUUAAUUUUGCUCGUUAUAACCAUUGAGUAUGGUAAAAUCAAGUGCAUACAAGGUUAAUUUUACAUGUUAAUGUUCCCUCCCUUUUGGAAAUUCCCAUUCAUUUACUUGAUCAGUCCAAGCAAUUCCAUGUUAUUUGGACAAUGAUUUGUCAGUUAAGUUCCUUUUUUAAAAAUUGUUUAUACCGUUUACAAAUAACUUUCCUUUAAAUGCCACUUCAAAAAUUUCUUAUUUAGAAUUACUAGGCCAUGGUUGCACAGUUGCACAGGAUAGGCACCAGUUUCUAGUUGGGAGACUUUCCAUGCAAGGAUGUGGUUUAUCUGUCAAGUUUGAUUUUGCUUUGAAUCUGCACAACGAUUUCAAGAAUUUCACUCAAUUUGUUUUCACCAUGUGUUGCAACCCAUGAUGAAUCUAAAGCAAGCACUGUCCACUGUUAUAUAGAGUUUCAGCUAAUAAUUUUGAAAUCUUCACUUUCAUGACUUCUUGCAAAACCAGUAAAACCUUAUAUCUAAAUUACUCUUUUGUUUAAACAAUAAAAUUUUUGUUCAGAUGACUUUUGUCAUCUGCAGUAAAACUUUUGAACUUUUGACUUUUGCUAUCUGCAGUUAAACUUUUGAACUUGUUAUAACAGUUAUAUGUCAUAUGUAAAUUCCAAUCUUAGCCUACUUCUACAUUUAAAUGUGAAUAUAAUACAAUAUCUCAUGUGACUGAUGUGAUGAAAAAGCCUGUUUUCAAAUACUUGAAAGUAAAUAUUUUUACACUUAUAAAGGGGCAUAUAUUGGGUAAAAAUGGAAAUAUUGACCAUUAUUGCAGCGUAAAGGGAGUCUAUGUUUUGAUUGUUUCUUGGUUCUUAACAUUACUUUUCCUACAUCCAGGCUAA
rnacentral:sRNA from 1 species